GGGCAACCCUGAUCCAGCCAUGCCGCGUGAGUGAAGAAGGCCUUCGGGUUGUAAAGCUCUUUCGGCCGGGAAAAAAUCGCAUAGGUUAAUACCCUGUGUGGAUGAUGGUACCGGAAUAAGAAGCACCGGCUAACUACGUGCCAGCAGCCGCGGUAAUACGUAGGGUGCGAGCGUUAAUCGGAAUUACUGGGCGUAAAGCGUGCGCAGGCGGUUUGAUAAGACAGGCGUGAAAUCCCCGGGCUCAACCUGGGAACUGCGUUUGUGACUGUCUCACUAGAGUACGGCAGAGGGGGGUGGAAUUCCACGUGUAGCAGUGAAAUGCGUAGAGAUGUGGAGGAACACCAAUGGCGAAGGCAGCCCCCUGGGUCGAUACUGACGCUCAUGCACGAAAGCGUGGGUAGCAAACAGGAUUAGAUACCCUGGUAGUCCACGCCCUAAACGAUGUCAACUAGGUGUUGGGAGGGUAAAACCUUUUAGUACCGUAGCUAACGCGAGAAGUGACCG
rnacentral:rRNA from 1 species